GAGGGAUCAUUACACAAAUAUGAAGGCGGGCUGGAACCUCUCGGGGUUACAGCCUUGCUGAAUUAUUCACCCUUGUCUUUUGCGUACUUCUUGUUUCCUUGGUGGGUUCGCCCACCACUAGGACAAACAUAAACCUUUUGUAAUUGCAAUCAGCGUCAGUAACAAAUUAAUAAUUACAACUUUCAACAACGGAUCUCUUGGUUCUGGCAUCGAUGAAGAACGCAGCGAAAUGCGAUAAGUAGUGUGAAUUGCAGAAUUCAGUGAAUCAUCGAAUCUUUGAACGCACAUUGCGCCCUUUGGUAUUCCAAAGGGCAUGCCUGUUCGAGCGUCAUUUGUACCCUCAAGCUUUGCUUGGUGUUGGGCGUCUUGUCUCUAGCUUUGCUGGAGACUCGCCUUAAAGUAAUUGGCAGCCGGCCUACUGGUUUCGGAGCGCAGCACAAGUCGCACUCUCUAUCAGCAAAGGUCUAGCAUCCAUUAAGCCUUUUUUUCAACUUUUGACCUCGGAUCAGGUAGGGAUACCCGCUGAAC
rnacentral:rRNA from 1 species